CGUGUGACAAUCAAAAAUGUAUGAUGUUGCCAAAUGUCCACUGGGUUAGGAACCAUUGAAAUGAGGCCAUGGCAAGGGUAUGGAUUUUAUUCUCUGUGUAAUUGGAGGGUUGAGAGCUAAGAAGUAACGUGACAUGAUUUACAUCUUUAAAAGGGCAGUGUGACUGCUGUUGGGUUAAAAGGCUGUGGGAAACAAGAGUGGAGGCAGGGAAUCCAGGAGGAGGUCCCUGUGUCGUCUGGCUGAGAGGUGAUAGUGGUUGGGACUAAGAGGCAGUAGUGGGAUGCUGAGAAGGGACUGGGUUCAGAACUUAUUUGGAAACCAGUGAGACUUGCUGGUGGAUUGAAUAUAAAAGGUGAUGAGGAAGGUCCAGUCAAGGAUGAUUUCUAGAUUUGGGGUCUGAGCAACUGGGAAUAAUGAUGUCAUUGUCUAAAAUGGGGAAGACUAAAAUAAGACUCAGAGAAAAGUAGUUCAGGGGUCAACAAUUCUCAACUUGAGAUGUCCAUUAGAUCUCCAAGUGGCCAUGACAGUAGAACAGAAGAGCCUGGAGCCCAGGGGAGAGUCCAGAUUGGAAAUAGACAUCCAGAAGGCGUAGCUCACCUUUAAUGCCUGGGGGAAAGAAAGGACCCUGGACUGAGCUCCAGGCACUCCAAUAUUUAGAGGUCAGAAGAAGGAAAAGCCAGCAAAGGAGACAGAGAAGAGGGUCAGUGAGAGAGAGGGGACAUUAGGAGAGCUUCUCAUCCCCGAGGCAUCGUGGCCUGGCAACCUCAUCCACCGUGGACUGUCCUCAGCCAGCUCACUGCCUAAGCGGGGAGCCCCUUGGGCGCUCAUUUGUGAUCAACACCAAGGACCACUAUAAAACUGGGUUUUGGACAACCCAAGGACUUGGCAGGGGUCACCUUGUUUAAUCUUUGCGCUAAGAAGUAAGUGCUACUAGUUCCAUAUCACAGCUGAGGAAACUGGAAAUCAGAGAGCUGCAGUAAUUUGCCCUCGAUCACAUGUGUUUUUCAACGCCACUCCUGGGCCUGGAGCCCUGGAGAGGCUGAUUCCACGUUCACACUUUUUCCACGGCACCCUUGGCCUCAGUCUCGCAGGGGCCCACUCAGUGCCUGGCACAGGCCUCCGUUCCCACCAUGGUGGGAACAGCUUGUUUCUGCCUAGGCUUGAAGUGCCUUCACAUCUGCUACUGCAUCUGAGACGGGCAGAUGGGAGCUGGGAUGGCUCAUGCAGGGUAAGUGACUGUCAAGGUUCCUCACCCAACUAAGGGCAGAGCCAGCACUGGCGCCAGGAGUCUCAUGGUCCUUGUCCAGGGCUCUCACGUCUUACCUCUUAUACCUACAGUCAAGGUAUCUUCCCAGCUGGCAGCCAUAUUCAAGGCAGCAGCCCCAUCUGGUAAUGCAGGGGCAAUAUUAUUAUUCUCAUUUUACUGAUUAAGAAACAGAGGCUCAGAGGGGUUCUGUGAUUUGCCCAAGUUACACAGCUAGGAAGAAGCUGAGCCAGAAAUAAAUCCUCAGUUUCCUAGCUCUCAGUAGUACUGAGUUGAAAUAAAUAACCUAUAUCUGACUUAACCAUUUUUCUUUCUUACAUAACAACUUUCCCAAUCCAUAAAAGAAAUAAGCCUCAGACAGGUUUGUGAAAUUUUCCCAAGCACAAGUAUUGCCAGUCCGAAUUCUGCAGUAGGUCCAUAAUCAUUUAAGAAGUGGAAAUGGGUAGAAGGAGGACAUUCUGUACACUGUGCCAACUUAAAAUUCCUUUCUUUCCCCUUAAUCAUAAAGGUGCUUUAAAAAUAAUCUUUGAAACAUAUUUGUUGCUUUAUUAAGCCUUCUACUUUCUGUCCCACUCUUUUUUAGAAAAAAUCAAAAUAAUACUUAAAAGCCCCACUCCCUAAAUAUUUUCUUUCAUUUCCAAGAUACAGAGAUGCUGACACAUGGGCAUGAAAUCUGGAGUCAGGCUUUGGUGUCUGACCUCCUGAAAAAGAAAAUGAAAACAUUUCUAAGUGUUCACACUUUCCCCGUGAGAGGACAGACACAAUACCCUUGAACCCAGAUGAAAAGAAAGAACCUAAAGGACACAUCUGAUCUGACAGGGCAGUGCAGUCACCAUCUAACAAUAAACGCCCGAGGAGAAGAACAAUGCGAGGGGUUGCUGAGGCUCUAUCACUCCACCAUCAAGAAGAGUGUUGUCUUUCUCAUUUCUGGGACUUCCGUUGGCCUCAGAAGACAGAGGGGGCAGAGAUACCCAGGAGAGCCCUAUUUUGGUUUCCAGCUGGGAACGUGCACUGAGUUUUCCUUAAUACCCAUAGCGCCCAAAGGCUUUGCAGUAAUACACUUUAAUGCAUGAAACACCCGUAAAUUAUCCUACAAACUGUUACAACUUCCAACCUGGAACAACUUGGAAAAACCAGCCUAGCAAGCAGGCUCUUUUUUAAUCUCUCAAGUCACAAGAGAAGAGAAAGUUCAAGCAGAAUACACCUUCCAUGAGAAUCUCAGAGGUUUUUUGGUUUUGGGGUUUUUUUUUGGAAAGAGAAAGGAGAGUUGUAAUCAGAAUGAAGCUGCUUGUUUCCGAUGGCUCAAAGAUGCCGCUCCUUGACCCCAAGUCCUCUCCCUCCCCUGGGUCUUUGUCGCUUGGACCCAAGGCGCUGCCCGCCCCACCCCUCCAUGCCAGCUUCUCCCACACCUGGCGGCAGAUAGCUGGAGGUGAGGCGUGAGACCCACGUAGCAGGACCUUCCAUGGAGGUCCCUUGGCGAGCAGGCUUCCCCUAUCAACCCCUGGGGCCCUCACUCGAGACUCCCAGCCCUCCAGCGACCCGCGGAGGAGCCCAGAGACCCUUGCUCCAUUCCCUGCACCAGGUCCAGAGCCCCCUGCCCAACUCGUC